GACAAAUUUGAAGCGAACAAAAUAAGCGAAGAAAAGAAGCAGCAUUGUAUCUUAAUUUGAAAAUUGGAAACAAGAAGAGAGAAAUCUUAAACCUCGAUGAAUUUUAAUCCUUUGUAAAUGAAAUCAAAUUUUUGAGAAAGAAAUGACAAUUACUUUAUUUACAUUUGUUGUAAUUAAGAGACAUUAAUAGAUUAUAAAUAUUUAUGCAGUUGUGACAGGUAAUCCUGAUGAAUGAGCCUUUGUGGAAGCUAUGAAGCAUUAGGCACACCCCACUGGCGAAGGCACACUCCUACGUUUAAGAUAGCAAGAGAACAAAACAGCGACGAGAAUAUCAAACGUACUAAUUCGCAGGGCGAUCGUCCAUCUAAUUGCAAAGGAUGCAGAAUAUAUAAAAAAAAGUCUGACUAUGCAAAUACCAACCAAACUUCAAUAUAGAAUAUAGAAUGAUUAGAACAUUCCAAUAGGAGAGGACUGUUAUAUGCAGAUACUGCUGGACAAAUAAGACGGUAAAAUAAGACGGUAAAACAAGAAUAAACAUUUUCAAUCAAGAAUUAAUCCUGAACAAAGUAAUAGUAAAAUGACUAAUAUGAUGCAAAUAUUAAUGGAAUUAAAAAAUAUU
rnacentral:misc_RNA from 1 species